rnacentral:rRNA from 1 species
GACGAACGCUGGCGGCGUGCUUAACACAUGCAAGUCGAACGGAAAGGCCCUGCUUUUGUGGGGUGCUCGAGUGGCGAACGGGUGAGUAACACGUGAGUAACCUGCCCUUGACUUUGGGAUAACUUCAGGAAACUGGGGCUCAUACCGGAUAGGAGCUCCUGCUGCAUGGUGGGGGUUGGAAAGUUUCGGCGGUUGGGGAUGGACUCGCGGCUUAUCAGCUUGUUGGUGGGGUAGUGGCUUACCAAGGCUUUGACGGGUAGCCGGCCUGAGAGGGUGACCGGCCACAUUGGGACUGAGAUACGGCCCAGACUCCUACGGGAGGCAGCAGUGGGGAAUAUUGCACGAUGGGCGGAAGCCGGAUGCAGCAACGCCGCGUGCGGGAUGACGGCCUUCGGGUUGUAAACCGCUUUCGCCUGUGACGAAGCGUGAGUGACGGUAAUGGGUAAAGAAGCACCGGCUAACUACGUG